rnacentral:lncRNA from 1 species
CAAAUUUGUGCUAAACAGGAAAGGGAAGCAAUUUUUUUUUCUAGAUUUUGAAUCAUAACAGACUUGAUCACAGAUACAAUGCGCAUUUCAUAGUUGAUGUAGAAGUGCACUUUCAGAUCAGCUGUUGUGGUCAGGAAUUCCCCCUGAGCCAAAAAGAUUUAUAGCAGCCCUUUCACAAAGGAUCCUUACUGCAAUUUGUUACAUAAGGUUAAAUAAAAAGGAGUAAAUUUCUAGUGAAAGUCUUUUUUUAAGCAGGAGGAGCCCCAUCUCAGGAGCACAAGAAACUCAACUUCAGUUCUGAUACAGGCAGUGAAAACUCCUCUGGAGGAAUCCAAUGCACAGCAUGAACAAAUGUGAAUCUCAUAUUUGGAGAAGCAUGCUGUGGUUAGACUUAAGCUGCUAUUCGAAGUGUCACAUGAGAGACUGGAGGCAUCCACACUGCAGUUCAUUACACUACAUUAAACUGAGGAGCAGGAAGAUGAAGAAUGAACAAGAUGAAAGAAAGAUUCUUUAACAAGAGAAAGGAAUAUAAACAUUUUUUACAG